AUUGAACGCUGACGGCAUGCCUUACACAUGCAAGUCGAACGGCAGCGCGGGAGCAAUCCUGGCGGCGAGUGGCGAACGGGUGAGUAAUAUAUCGGAACGUGCCCAGUAGUGGGGGAUAGCCCGGCGAAAGCCGGAUUAAUACCGCAUGAGACCUGAGGGUGAAAGCGGGGGAUCGCAAGACCUCGCGCUACUGGAGCGGCCGAUAUCAGAUUAGCUAGUUGGUGGGGUAAAGGCCUACCAAGGCAACGAUCUGUAGUUGGUCUGAGAGGACGACCAGCCACACUGGGACUGAGACACGGCCCAGACUCCUACGGGAGGCAGCAGUGGGGAAUUUUGGACAAUGGGCGCAAGCCUGAUCCAGCAAUGCCGCGUGCAGGAAGAAGGCCU
rnacentral:rRNA from 1 species